CCUACGGGUGGCAGCAGUGGGGAAUAUUGGACAAUGGGGGCAACCCUGAUCCAGCCAUGCCGCGUGUGUGAAGAAGGCCCUCGGGUUGUAAAGCACUUUCAGUGAGGAAGAACGCCUGGUGGUUAAUACCCAUCAGGAAAGACAUCACUCACAGAAGAAGCACCGGCUAACUCCGUGCCAGCAGCCGCGGUAAUACGGAGGGUGCGAGCGUUAAUCGGAAUUACUGGGCGUAAAGCGCGCGUAGGUGGCUUGAUAAGCCGGUUGUGAAAGCCCCGGGCUCAACCUGGGAACGGCAUCCGGAACUGUCAAGCUAGAGUGCAGGAGAGGAAGGUAGAAUUCCCGGUGUAGCGGUGAAAUGCGUAGAGAUCGGGAGGAAGACCAGUGGCGAAGGCGGCCUUCUGGACUGACACUGACACUGAGGUGCGAAAGCGUGGGUAGCAAACAGGAUUAGAUACCCUAGUAGUC
rnacentral:rRNA from 1 species